AUUGAACGCUGGCGGCAUGCUUUACACAUGCAAGUCGAACGGCAGCGCGGGCUUCGGCCUGGCGGCGAGUGGCGAACGGGUGAGUAAUAUAUCGGAACGUACCCAAGAGUGGGGGAUAACGUAGCGAAAGUUACGCUAAUACCGCAUACGAUCUAAGGAUGAAAGCAGGGGAUCGCAAGACCUUGUGCUCCUGGAGCGGCCGAUAUCUGAUUAGCUAGCUGGUGAGGUAAAGGCUCAUCAAGGCAACGAUCAGUAGCUGGUCUGAGAGGACGACCAGCCACACUGGAACUGAGACUCGGUCCAGACUCGUACGGGAGGCAGCAGUGGGGAAUUUUGGACAAUGGGGGCAACCCUGAUCCAGCAAUGCCGCGUGAGUGAAGAAGGCCUUCGGGUUGUAAAGCUCUUUUGUCAGGGAAGAAAAGGUCGUGGCUAAUAUCCACGACUGCUGACGGUACCUGAAGAAUAAGCACCGGCUAACUACGUGCCAGCCGCCGCGGUAAGAC
rnacentral:rRNA from 1 species